AUGAAGUCCAGAAGAAAUGGGCAGUCUUGUGAUCCUGCUCUAUGAUUUUCUUAAGUUACUCCUGGAAACAAAGUUUGUGAUACUCCUCUUACUGCCUCUCAAAUUGGUUGAAGCUGUCAUGGACAACAUAGUGAUCAAAGGUGAGAUUGAGAAGGUGAUGAAAGAAGCAACACAGCUAGAGUCCUGUCUUCACGUUGUGAAGUAA
rnacentral:lncRNA from 1 species